GAUGAACGCUAGCUACAGGCUUAACACAUGCAAGUCGAGGGGAAACGACAUCGAAAGCUUGCUUUUGAUGGGCGUCGACCGGCGCACGGGUGAGUAACGCGUAUCCAACCUGCCCAUCACUUGGGAAUAACCUUGCGAAAGUAAGACUAAUACCCAAUGACAUCCCACGAAGACAUCUGAAUGGGAUUAAAGAUUUAUCGGUGAUGGAUGGGGAUGCGUCUGAUUAGCUUGUUGGCGGGGUAACGGCCCACCAAGGCAACGAUCAGUAGGGGUUCUGAGAGGAAGGUCCCCCACAUUGGAACUGAGACACGGUCCAAACUCCUACGGGAGGCAGCAGUGAGGAAUAGUGAUCAAUGGGAGAGAGCCUGAACCAGCCAAGUAGCGUGCAGGAUGACGGCCCUAUGGGUUGUAAACUGCUUUUAUAAGGGAAUAAAGUGGGUCUCGGGAGACUUUUUGCAUGUACCUUAUGAAUAAGGACCGGCUAAUUCCGUG
rnacentral:rRNA from 1 species